CAGGCAUGUAUGUGGCCCCUCACUGCCUUCUCUUCCUACCCCUCCAGGCCCUGACCAAGAAUGACAGGAGCACAGGUAAGUACCGGGGUGGCCACCCUGGGCAUGUGGGUAGCCAGGGCACCACCCAGCUUUGACCUGCUGGCCCUCUCCCAGAGGGGAAGGCCCACCGCGAGAAGCUGGAGCUGGUGGCCUCCUUCUCCUUCUUUGGCAACGUCAUGUCCAUGGCCAGCGUGCAGCUGGCAGGAGCCAAGCGUGACGCCCUACUGCUCAGCUUCAAGGAUGCUAAGGUGAGGGGUAGAGGGUGGUAGAGGGUGGUAGGCCCGGGGUGGGGGAUGGAGGGGGCAGGGCUACACAGGGGCCUGCUGGUACCCCCCAGGGUGCAUGGGGGCAGGCCAUAGUUCUGACCUUCUGCCCCCAGCUGUCGGUGGUGGAGUAUGACCCCGGCACCCACGAUCUGAAGACCCUGUCCUUGCACUACUUUGAGGAGCCUGAGCUGCGGGUAGGCCACAUCGAGGCACCCCGGCCAGCCCAGCUACUCCCUCCCUCCUUCUACCCCCAGUGCUGCCCGUGAGGGCUCCUGGCUAAUGUCCCUCUGCCCCCAGGACGGCUUUGUGCAGAACGUGCACACACCUCGAGUGCGGGUGGACCCCGAUGGGCGCUGUGCAGCCAUGCUCAUCUACGGCACCCGGCUGGUGGUGCUGCCCUUCCGCAGGGAGAGCCUGGCCGAGGAGCAUGAGGGGCUCGUGGGUGAGGGGUGAGCACUGGGGUCACGGCUGGGUCUGAGAGGCGUGGAGCUUGGUUCCCCUCUGUGUGGCCCACCCUGACGUCCCUGUGCCCCCAGGCAGAGGUCCAGCUUCCUGCCUAGCUAUAUCAUCGAUGUGCGGGCCCUGGACGAGAAGCUGCUCAACAUCAUUGACCUGCAGUUCCUGCAUGGCUAUUACGAGCCCACCCUGCUCAUCCUGUUCGAGCCCAACCAGACUUGGCCCGGGUGAGGCCCAGGGAUGCCCUCUUUGCUGUGGUCCCAGCUGCCUGGGCAGAGGGGACAGGGACGUGUAGCUCCCGCAGAGGGUGGAAGUGGGACCCCAGCCUUGGGGGGUGCUGCGAGUCCAGCUGACCCACCUACUACUCCAGGCGGGUGGCAGUGCGACAGGACACCUGUUCCAUUGUGGCCAUCUCACUGAACAUCACGCAGAAGGUCCACCCUGUCAUCUGGUCCCUCACCAGCCUGCCUUUUGACUGCACCCAGGCCCUGGCUGUGCCCAAGCCCAUAGGUGAGGAGGGCCCAGCAGUGCCCAGUGGUCCUGGGGGGGAGCAGUGAGCCUGCCUACCAGCCCGUGUCUGUCCCCAGGUGGGGUCGUGGUCUUCGCUGUCAACUCGCUGCUGUACCUGAACCAAAGUGUCCCCCCAUAUGGCGUGGCUCUCAACAGCCUCACUAUGGGCACCACUGCCUUCCCACUGCGUAAGUGUAGCUGACUAUUAGUGGGUGGGGCUGUGGGUGGGGCAGGGCCUCCAGCCAGCUUGACACCUUCCUCACAGGCACUCAGGAGGGCGUACGGAUCACCCUGGACUGCGCCCAGGCCGCCUUCAUUUCCUAUGACAAGAUGGUCAUUUCCCUCAAGGGUGGCGAGAUGUGAGCCCCUGGCCCUGUCUGCCCUGAGACCCCCACAUCCCCUCCCCUGCUCAUUCAGCACCCCCCACCCCUGCCCUCCAACAUCCUUCAUCCCCAGCCCUACUCAGCAGCCCGCCCCGCCCACAGCUAUGUGCUGACACUCGUCACAGACGGCAUGCGCAGCGUCCGUGCCUUCCACUUUGACAAGGCAGCCGCCAGUGUCCUCACCACCAGUGUGAGUAGGGGCAGGGGUGGAGGUCUUGCACUGGGUCCAGGUCUGGCCUCCUCUCAUCCACACGCCCGCCCUCAGAUGGUCACCAUGGAGCCUGGGUACCUGUUCCUGGGCUCGCGCCUGGGCAAUUCCCUCCUCCUCAAGUACACAGAGAAGCUGCAGGAGCCCCCAGCCAGUGCUGUCCGCGAGGCUGCUGACAAGGUGGGUGCUCAUGGUGGUGCCCAGGUGCUUGGCCACCUCCCCUUGGUGUAAAGCAGCCUGGAAAUGCUGUUCACCUCUGUCUCCCGCCUCACAGGAAGAGCCUCCCUCCAAGAAGAAGCGGGUGGACCCCACAGUGGGCUGGUCAGGUGAGAGCUGGACCGGUUGGGUGGGGUGGGUCUGGGAGCCAGGGCAAGGCUCAAGUGGGCUGUGUGCGCUACAGGGGGCAAGUCCGUGCCACAGGACGAGGUGGACGAGAUUGAAGUGUACGGCAGUGAGGCCCAGUCAGGCACACAGCUGGCCACCUACUCCUUUGAGGUGAGACUGGGGACAGCCGUGGAUGCCCGCCCCCUCCCACCACCUGACUGCCACUGUGUCUUCAGGUGUGUGACAGCAUGCUCAACAUCGGACCCUGCGCCAAUGCUGCUGUGGGCGAGCCCGCCUUCCUCUCCGAAGAGGUGCCUGGGGCCUGGGCUUGGGUUGGGGGCAGGAGCGGGGUUGGGGCAGCAUCUUUACCCCGACCUGUGCAGUUUCAGAACAGCCCUGAGCCAGACCUGGAGAUUGUGGUUUGCUCCGGCUAUGGGAAGAACGGGGCCCUAUCAGUGCUGCAGGUGUGUAGGGCAGGGGGGGUGGGCACCUGCGGGCAGCACCUGAGUAGGCUGACCCCAUCCCACCCUAUCUUCAUUCCAGAAGAGUAUCCGGCCCCAGGUAGUGACAACCUUUGAACUUCCUGGCUGCUAUGACAUGUGGACAGUCAUUGCCCCUGUGCGCAAGGAGGAGGUAGGUGGGACCCUAGGUGAUAGUGACUGUGGUGGCCUGAGGGCACCUGGAUCCAGUGGUCAUAGCCAUCACAGCUCUCUGUCCUCCCUGUCCUUGGCCCGUGCAGGAGGAGGCACCUAAGGCAGAGGGCCCAGAGCAGGAGCCGAGCACCCCUGAAGCAGAAGAUGAUGGCCGGAGACAUGGCUUCCUCAUUCUGAGCCGGGAAGACUCAACAAUGGUGAAGGGCGGGGUCUGGAUGUGGGCGUCUGGGGUUCCCCGGGGAAGGGCACAACUCACUACGUUACCUACAGAUCCUUCAGACUGGCCAGGAGAUCAUGGAACUGGACACCAGUGGCUUUGCCACACAGGGCCCCACGGUUUUUGCUGGAAACAUUGGGGACAAUCGCUACAUUGUCCAAGUGUCACCACUGGGCAUCCGCUUGCUAGAAGGAGGUAGGUGGGCAAGUGUAGGGAAGCGCGUCCUGGGGAGUAUGCUGCAUUGGCCACCCUGUGCUGACCACCCUGUGCCCACAGUGAAUCAGCUGCACUUCAUCCCUGUGGACCUGGGUGCCCCCAUCGUGCAGUGCGCUGUGGCCGACCCCUAUGUGGUCAUCAUGAGCGCCGAGGGCCGUGUUACCAUGUUCCUGCUCAAGAGUGAUUCGUAUGGUGGCCGCCACCACCGCCUUGCACUGCACAAGCCUCCACUGCACCAUGUAGGCCUCACCCUCUGUGUCUGCCAUCCCUGCCUAUGAUCCCCUAUCCCCACUGUCCCCGACCUACACUGGGCUUUGUCUCUCCCUGCAGCAGUCCAAGGUGAUCACACUCUGCCUGUAUCGUGAUGUCAGCGGCAUGUUCACCACCGAGAGCCGCCUGAGUGGGGCCCGUGAUGAGAUGGGGGGCCGCAGUGGUUCAGAGGCCGAAGGACUGGGCUCAGAGACCAGGUGUGCAGGGGGCCAGGGUGCAGGAGACCUGGGUCUCUGUGGCAGAUUGAGACAUGUCUGUGUCUUCAGCCCUACAGUGGAUGACGAGGAGGAGAUGCUCUAUGGGGACUCAGGCUCCCUCUUCAGCCCCAGCAAAGAGGAGGCCCGGAGGAGCAGCCAGCCCCCUGCUGACCGAGACCCUGCACCCUUUCGGGCAGAGCCCACCCACUGGUGCCUGCUGGUGCGAGAGAACGGCACCAUGGAGGUAGGUGCACACAUGUGGCUCAGCAGCCCUGGCAGCAUGGCAGGCCCUAUCGUCACUGACUGCUGUCCCCCACCAGAUCUACCAGCUUCCAGACUGGCGGCUGGUGUUCCUGGUGAAGAACUUCCCUGUGGGGCAGCGGGUCCUGGUGGACAGUUCCUUUGGACAGCCUACCACGCAGGGUGAGGCCCGCAAGGAAGAGGCCACGCGCCAGGGGGAGCUGCCCCUGGUCAAGGAGGUGCUGCUGGUUGCUCUGGGGAGUCGCCAGAGCAGGCCCUACCUGCUGGUGAGCCCUUUGGUGCCUGCCCAGAGGCUGGGACCUGCCCUCACAGCCCAGCCCAUUCCUCCACUCUGUCCUCGGGGCCCAGCCCCACCUCGUGGCCCACCCUGUCUCACUUCCAGGUGCAUGUGGACCAGGAGCUGCUUAUCUAUGAGGCUUUUCCCCAUGACUCUCAGCUUGGCCAGGGCAAUCUCAAAGUUCGCUUCAAGAAGGUGCAGCUGCUAGACCCUUUUGGGGUGGGUUGGGAGGGGUCCAGGCUACAGGGUCUGAAGGGCCUGGCGUUCAUCAACACCUUCACCAGGUCCCCCACAACAUCAAUUUCCGUGAAAAGAAGGCAAAACCCUCCAAGAAGAAGGCAGAAGGUGGCAGUGUGGAGGAGGGUUCUGGGGCCCGGGGACGUGUGGCACGUUUCCGCUACUUCGAGGACAUUUAUGGCUAUUCUGGGGUAGGCAGGCAGCUUUGUUUGGGCUUGGGGGUAGGGGAACAGGACCUUGCCCACAUGUUCUCACAGUGUCUGUCUCCAGGUGUUCAUCUGUGGCCCCUCACCCCACUGGCUCCUAGUGACUGGCCGGGGGGCUCUGCGGCUGCACCCCAUGGGCAUCGAUGGCCCCAUCGACUCCUUCGCCCCAUUCCACAAUGUCAAUUGUCCCCGAGGCUUUCUGUAUUUCAACAGACAGGUAGGAAGGUUAACUCUGGCCGCACCACAAGCACUGGUACUGCCCUGGCAAAGCUAGGCGCUAGGGACAGGAGGGCUCCUCAGCUGCAGCACAUCCCAGAGGACCAGGGAUGACUAUCUAGAGGAGGGUAGGGCCCAGGAGGUGGGAUCUGGGGCUUGAGGCUGGAGCAGUUGGCAGUGGAGGCCUGGCUGAUGGGGCAUACCCUGAAAGCCCUUGCCUCAUCUGUGACACCCACAUGGCAGCAAUGACCACCUGAGUCACUGACAGACUCUGGUGUUGAGUGCUUCCAAGGGGCUAAUGCACUCAGGACUGGACAGAAGCUGAGGCUGGGGCUGGCAGGGUCUCCCUCUGCCUGUGUUCUUCAGUCCCUGGCAUGGCCAGUCUCAGUCAUGUGGCUUUUAGUCUCUAGUGUCCUCUGGGCUUGGACUCCCAUGCCCUGUGCUGUAUUCCCCAGCCAGAAGGAUGGACAGGAGCCUACUGAUAGAAGGCAUGGGGACUGACGACCAAGGCUACAGCUCUUCCAGACCUUCCCCAGACUCGGUGACCCUAGCCAGGCAGUAGCGAGGCCUGCAGCCCUAGGCCUUGCUGACUAUUUCCACCCACCCCAGGGUGAGCUGCGGAUCAGUGUCCUGCCUGCCUACUUGUCCUACGAUGCCCCAUGGCCCGUCAGGAAGAUCCCACUGCGCUGCACGGCUCACUAUGUGGCUUACCAUGUGGAGUCCAAGGUCUGUCCCCUCCCCCAGCACUCCCUCCCCCAGGCACCCCAGGCGUGUGACACCAUUCAACUCCUAGGUGUACGCCGUGGCCACCAGCACCAAUACACCCUGCACCCGCAUCCCGCGCAUGACUGGUGAGGAAAAGGAGUUUGAGGCCAUUGAGAGAGGUAUGUGCCACCAGGGGUGGGGUGGACCAUGCCCAGGGCUGGCUACGACCACUGCCUCCUUGUCCCUGCAGAUGACAGGUACAUCCACCCCCAACAGGAGGCCUUCUCCAUCCAGCUCAUCUCCCCAGUCAGCUGGGAGGCCAUUCCCAAUGCCAGGUGAUGUUGGGCCCAGUGGGGGCUUCCGGGUGCCAGCAGGGCAGGACUAGGGUGUCCUGAUACAGCCUGUCCUUGUGCAGAAUUGAGCUGGAGGAAUGGGAACACGUCACAUGCAUGAAGACAGUGUCGCUGCGCAGUGAGGAGACUGUGUCGGGCCUCAAGGGCUAUGUGGCUGCUGGGACCUGCCUCAUGCAGGGAGAGGAGGUCACGUGCCGCGGGCGGGUAAGCAGCUGCCAGGUGGGGACAGGCGGCCCUUGGCAGCCUGUCUGCCAUCCCCACAUGUUCCCUUGCCCUGCCAGAUCCUCAUCAUGGACGUGAUUGAGGUGGUGCCCGAACCUGGCCAGCCCCUAACCAAGAACAAGUUCAAGGUCCUAUACGAAAAGGAACAGAAGGGGCCUGUGACCGCCCUGUGCCACUGCAAUGGUCACCUGGUGUCAGCCAUUGGCCAGAAGGUACACAGCUACUCCUCCCUGCUGUGUUUCUGCCUGCUCACCCUGCCCACUCCACUGACCCUUCUGCCCCCUAGAUCUUCCUGUGGAGCCUGCGGGCCAGUGAGCUGACGGGCAUGGCCUUCAUCGACACCCAGCUGUACAUCCACCAGAUGAUCAGCGUCAAGAACUUCAUCUUAGCUGCAGAUGUCAUGAAGAGCAUCUCACUGCUGCGCUACCAAGAAGAGAGCAAGACGCUGAGCCUGGUGUCCCGGGUACUUCAUGUGGUCUUGGGGUACAGGUGAGAGUCAUACUCGGGCUCCU
rnacentral:lncRNA from 1 species